UACGUAGGGUGCGAGCGUUGUCCGGAAUUAUUGGGCGUAAAGAGCUCGUAGGCGGUUUGUCGCGUCUGCUGUGAAAAUCCGGGGCUCAACCCCGGACUUGCAGUGGGUACGGGCAGACUAGAGUGUGGUAGGGGAGACUGGAAUUCCUGGUGUAGCGGUGAAAUGCGCAGAUAUCAGGAGGAACACCGAUGGCGAAGGCAGGUCUCUGGGCCGCUACUGACGCUGAGAAGCGAAAGCAUGGGGAGCGAACAGG
rnacentral:rRNA from 1 species